GUAGAGAAGGAACAGGUGCUCUUG
rnacentral:piRNA from 1 species